rnacentral:sRNA from 1 species
GCUGGGCAUGGUGGCACAUGCUUGUAAUCCCAGCUACUUGGGAGGCUGAGGUGGGAGGAUCACUUGAACCCAGGAGGCAGGGGUUGCAGUGAGCCAAGAUCGAGCCACUGCACUCUGGCCUGGGUAACAGAGUGAGACUCUGUCUCAA